GGUGACACGAGCGGCCCUGCCCGCUGGUGCUGGCUCCCCUGCAUUCCCCAGAGCGAUGGGGACCCUCUGCCCCAAGAACCACCGGCUGGCCAGCGGUCAGCCCCAGCAGAGCUCGAGAGGCAUUCUGGCGUUUCUGAGGGGCCUGCGGCGCUGCCAGCAGCCCUGACGCAUCCACACCACACACAUCGCUGUCACAGCUGCCAUGGCAAUAGCCUACGUGCCGGUGCCCGUGAGGGACCGCCGGCGUGGGCGCACACCUGUGCUCGCUCGGGUCCCCGUCCCACCUCACGCCUCCACCCGUCCACGGCCCCACAGCAGCCCUGGCCCCCUCUGGUGCCACAGAGUUCAGCACUGGCACAGGGGUCCCUCCCCAGCACCCCACACCCUGGCACUGCAUCAUGCCUGGUUCUGGAGCCAUGGCCAAGGCCACCAGGAUGGUGUUCUGCUGGGGUACGUGGGAAACAAAACCUGGGCUCAACUCAGUUUCCAUCUUGGCCAAAUAUGAUGCACAAAGGCAGGGUUGUGCCAGCAGCUGCUGAUGCUCUGUCUCCGCCGGAGCCUCCAGCAUACAACCAGCCCUUUUUGGAGCUGGGAUUUUCCACAGUAUCCCCAGGCAGAGUGACAUGCUGCAGUGUCCUGGUACACUCACAGCGGUUCCCGUUUCUACUGCAGACACUCAGAGCGGCAGCAUGUGGCACGGCCGGCCCGGAGCCACAGGAAAAACCUGCUCUGGAAGAGCUGUCCUGAGGAAGCAGUGUCUGGGGCCUAGGGAGCGCCAGCCCCUCCUGUGGGGUUCUGUGACUGGGGGCACCACGCUCCAUAGGGACCACGAGGUGCCAAACUGGGGAGGGGAUGUCAGGCUGGGGGAGGGUUUGUCAACACCAGAAUCAAGCGCCAAAAGGGUCCAGCAGUGACAUCCACUCCGUUGCCAAGAGCAUCCCCGGGCACUGCUCCCUGCGAGGAGCACGGGUGUCCCACCAUGACCGUUUGCCAUCCAGCUCCAGGGACCACGACAGACGCAGUGGCCCCUCCGGCACACCGCAGUGCUUGGACCCCG
rnacentral:lncRNA from 1 species